rnacentral:rRNA from 1 species
AACGAACGCUGGCGGCAUGCCUAACACAUGCAAGUCGAACGAGACCUUCGGGUCUAGUGGCGCACGGGUGCGUAACGCGUGGGAACCUGCCUUUAGGUUCGGAAUAACUCAGAGAAAUUUGAGCUAAUACCGGAUAAUGUCUUCGGACCAAAGAUUUAUCGCCUUUAGAUGGGCCCGCGUAAGAUUAGCUAGUUGGUGGGUAAAGGCCUACCAAGGCGACGAUCUUUAGCUGGUCUGAGAGGAUGAUCAGCCACACUGGGACUGAGACACGGCCCAGACUCCUACGGGAGGCAGCAGUGGGGAAUAUUGGACAAUGGGCGAAAGCCUGAUCCAGCAAUGCCGCGUGAGUGAUGAAGGCCUUAGGGUUGUAAAGCUCUUUUACCCGAGGUGAUAAUGACAGUAUCGGGAGAAUAAGCUCCGGCUAACUCCGUGCCAGCAGCCGCGGUAAU